ACAGCAGAAACUAUAGUAAGACCACCACAUGCUAGGUAAUGCUAAUAUUAACAGCCCAUCCAACACAGCUGAAACUAUAGUAAGACCACCACAUGCUAGGUAAUGCUAAUAUUAACAGCCCAUCCAACACAGCUGAAACUAUAGUAAGACCACCACAUGCUAGGUAAUGCUAAUAUUAACAGCCCAUCCAACACAGCUGAAACUAUAGUAAGACCACCACAUGCUAGGUAAUGCUAAUAUUAACAGCCCAUCCAACACAGCUGAAACUAUAGUAAGACCACCACAUGCUAGGUAAUGCUAAUAUUAACAGCCCAUCCAACACAGCUGAAACUAUAGUAAGACCACCACAUGCUAGGUAAUGCUAAUAUUAACAGCCCAUCCAACACAGCUGAAACUAUAGUAAGACCACCACAUGCUAGGUAAUGCUAGUAUUAACAGCCCAUCCAACACAGCUGAAACUACAGUAAGACCACCACAUGCUAGGUAAUGCUAAUAUUAACAGCCCAUCCAACACAGCUGAAAUUAUAGCUAGCCUUGUUUAGUAAUCACAGCGUCAGCUUCCCCACUAAGGUCCAAUGUGAUAACUUGAAAUCUGAGGAAGAAAGUCAGGUUUAAGAAGUAGUGUGACAUUUUAAAUGAUGCCGUAUAUCUAUGAAUAUAUGCUUAAUGAUAAAAAGAUCCAGUAAUGCUCGACUGCUGAACAGCGCGUAUAGCGGCCAACAGCAUUUGGGCAGCAUGAUGGUGGUAGAUAUGACCCACUCUCACUGAAACUACUGUAGCAGAGUGAGUCUCAUCAGGGUAGAAGAUGCCUGCAUACUCACUAUGUACAAGCAUACAUGAUGACAUGCGUAAAUGUAUUACUAGCAGAAGAUUAAUAAGAAUGAACAACAGUAGCUAAUACAUGAUGACUAGAUGGAAGUGAUCGCUACAGUAGCAUAUAAUGUAAAGAUGGACGGACAGGGAGGACUAACUAUGUCAGGAUGGACGGACAGGGAGGACUAACUAUGUCAAGAUGGGCCGACAGGGAGGACUAACUAUGUAAAGAUGGACCGACAGGGAGGACUAACUAUGUAAAGAUGGACCGACAGGGAGGACUAACUAUGUCAAGAUGGGCCGGCAGGGAGGACUAACUAUGUAAAGAUGGACCGACAGGGAGGACUAACUAUGUAAAAAUGGGCCGACAGGGAGGACUAACUAUGUAAAGAUGGACCGACAGGGAGGACUAACUAUGUAAAGAUGGACCGACAGGGAGGACUAACUAUGUAAAGAUGGACCGACAGGGAGGACUAACUAUGUAAAGAUGGACCGACAGGGAGGACUAACUAUGUAAAGAUGGACCGACAGGGAGGACUAACUAUGUAAAAUACAGAACAGGCUUAGAAUAUGGCUAAUACAUCAGAGCCUAAACCUACUGUUGUAGAUAAGGAUGAAGUAAAUAUAUAAAAUGGAAACUAAUAAUGUGACUCAUGCAACAGUAUGAAAUAGUAUUUGUCACAUGUGCGGAAUACAACAGGUGUAGAUCUUACAGGGAAAUGCUUACUUACAAGCCCCUUAACCAACUAUGCUUUCAGAAGAUACAAAAAAAUAAGUUACGAAAAAAUAAGUGGUAAGUAAAAAAUAGAAAAUAAUAGUAACAAAUAAUUCAACAGCAGCAGUAAAAUAACAUUAUAGAGGCUAUAUAAAGGGAAAGGGGGAUACCUAGUCAGUUGUACAACUGAAUGUAUUCAACUGAAAUUUGUCUUCUGCAUUUAACCCCACCCCUCUACAGGGGGUAUCGUACAGAGUCAAUUUGGGGGGCACCGGUUAGUUGAGGUAAUAUGUACAUGUAGGUAGGGUUAAGGUGACUAUGCAUAGAUAAUAAACAGGUUAGUUGAGGUAAUAUGUACAUGUUGGUAGGGUUAAGGUGACUAUGCAUAGAUAAUAAACAGGGUAAUUGAGGUAAUAUGUAUAUGUAGGUAGAGGUAAAGUGACUGUGCAUAGAUAAUAAACAGGUUAGUUGAGGUAAUAUGUACAUGUAGGUAGAGUUAAAGUGAUUAUGCAUAGAUAAUAAACAGGGUAGUUGAGGUAAUAUGUACAUGUAGGUAGAGUUAAAGUGACUAUACAUAGAUAAUAAACAGGUUAGUCGAGGUAAUAUGUACAUGUAGGUAGAGUUAAAGUGACUGUGCAUAGAUAAUAAACAGGUUAGUUGAGGUAAUAUGUACAUGUAGGUAGGGUUAAAGUGACUAUACAUAGAUAAUAAACAGGGUAGUUGAGGUAAUAUGUACAUGUAGGUAGAGUUAAAGUGACUGUGCAUAGAUAAUAAACAGGUUAGUUGAGGUAAUAUGUACAUGUAGGUAGAGGUAAAGUGACUGUGCAUAGAUAAUAAACAGGUUAGUUGAGGUAAUAUGUACAUGUAGGUAGAGGUAAAGUGACUGUGCAUAGAUAAUAAACAGGGUGUUGCAGCAGCGUCUUGGUCGCCCUUUGAUUAGCUGUUCAGGAGUCUUGGCUUGGGGGUAGAAGCUGUUCAGAAGCCUUUUGGACCUAGACUUGGCGGUCCGGAACCUCUUGCCGUGUGGUAGCAAAGAGAACAACAGCCUAUGACUGGGGUGGCUGGAGUCUGACAAUUUUUAUGGCCUUCUUCUGACACCGUCAGGUUAGAGGUCCUGGAUGUCAGGAAGCUUGGCCCCAGUGAUGUACUGGGCCAUACGGGCCUUUUGAUCGGAGGCCGAGCAGUUGCCAUAACAGUCGGUGAUGCACCCAGUCAGUCAGUAUGCACUAAUGCAGCCUUUCUUAAAGUUGGGUCACGGACCUGUUAAUGGUGGGUCGUGACGUGUCAGUGUAAAUACGUCAUUAUUUCAUGAAUUACUGGAAUUGAUUUGUCCAAGUGCAUCUGCGCUCUC